UUCGGGCGCCGGCGAGUGACGAACGGGUGAGUAACACGUGGAGACCUAUCCUUUGGUGGGGGACAACAGCUGGAAACGGCUGCUAAUACCGCAUACGCCCCAAGGGGGAAAGAUUUAUUGCCGAAGGAGGGUUCCGCGUCGGAUUAGCUAGUUGGUGGGGUAACGGCCUACCAAGGCGACGAUCCGUAGCUGGUCUUAGAGGAUGAUCAGCCACACUGGGACUGAGACACGGCCCAGACUCCUACGGGAGGCAGCAGUGGGGAAUAUUGCGCAAUGGGGGAAACCCUGACGCAGCGAUGCCGCGUGGGUGAAGAAGGCCUUAGGGUUGUAAAGCCCUUUCAGUGGGAACGAUAGUGACGGUACCCACAGAAGAAGCCCCGGCUAACUCCGUGCCAGCAGCCGCGGUAAUACGGAGGGGGCGAGCGUUGUUCGGAAUUAUUGGGCGUAAAGCGCGCGUAGGCGGUUUAUCAAG
rnacentral:rRNA from 1 species